ACGAAACUGAGUUUCCCAUACAUGAAGAACCUAUUGGUCAAGUUAGAUUAAUUGAACAGUCAUCCAGCCAAUCACAGCCGUUUGACCAAUCCACCAGACCAGGGAAGAGUAAACAGUUGAAGUAUAGUAAAGUUACGUUUGUGCAUUCAGCAACGAAGCUUCUGUUACUCACCGCUGGCUGUGAUAACAGAUUAGAGAAUAAUAGAUCAGAGCUUUGAGGAAGACUUCAGAUGAAGAGGGACCACUUCUUCCCUGUGGCUGUUGGAGAGGAAUUUGCACCUGCUGAUACAAAACCUCCUGGACAACUUUAGAUAUUUAAUUUCCCAAUUAAAGACAAUUAAAGGUCCCCUUUGGAUUCCUACUAAAAGAGACACUUUUUUUUAAAGAAAAUUGAAGACAGUUUAGGUUGUACUAGUCCAUGGACUCAGAAAUGACUCUUAACUGAUACUGAUUUGUUACCAGGGUUCAAUUUGUUAUGUAUCAAUAACCAUCCAUUUCAUUUUAAUGGAAGUGUAAGUUUCCUUUAAUUUCAUGUCUAUAAGGUAUGUGAGGAAGUAGGAUAAAGAUACUCUGUGAUUAUCUUAAGUAUAAUAAGGAUAGCUAUGCUCCAGUACAGCAAUUCAUACAAAUAACUGGAUGUAAGUAGUAAACUGCUAUGAGACCCUAAAUAAAUUCUGCUCAGUUGUUACACUCA